UACUCGAGUGGCGAACGGGUGAGUAACACGUGGGUGAUCUGCUCUGCACUUCGGGAUAAGCUUGGGAAACUGGGUCUAAUACCGGAUAGGAACCAUCUUUAGUGUGGUGGUUGGAAAGUUUUUUCGGUGUAGGAUGAGCUCGCGGCCUAUCAGCUUGUUGGUGGGGUAAUGGCCUACCAAGGCGGCGACGGGUAGCCGGCCUGAGAGGGUGUACGGCCACAUUGGGACUGAGAUACGGCCCAG
rnacentral:rRNA from 1 species